GUGAGGAAUAUUGGUCAAUGGGCGCAAGCCUGAACCAGCCAUGCCGCGUGCAGGAAGACGGUCCUAUGGAUUGUAAACUGCUUUUAUUUGGGAAUAAACUCCGGUACGUGUACCGGCCUGAAGGUACCAAAUGAAUAAGCACCGGCUAACUCCGUGCCAGCAGCCGCGGUAAUACGGAGGGUGCAAGCGUUAUCCGGAAUCAUUGGGUUUAAAGGGUCCGCAGGCGGUCUUAUAAGUCAGUGGUGAAAGCCUACAGCUCAACUGUAGAACUGCCAUUGAUACUGUAGGACUUGAAUUCGAUCGAAGUGGGCGGAAUGUGACAUGUAGCGGUGAAAUGCUUAGAUAUGUCACAGAACACCGAUAGCGAAGGCAGCUCACUAGGUCUGGAUUGACGCUCAGGGACGAAAGCGUGGGGAGCAAACAGGAUUAGAUACCCCUGUAGUCC
rnacentral:rRNA from 1 species